rnacentral:rRNA from 1 species
GAGUUUGAUCCUGGCUCAGAAUCAACGCUGGCGGCGUGCCUCAGACAUGCAAGUCGAACGAGAACCUCCUUUCGGGGAGGGGACAGUGGCGCACGGGUGAGUAACACGUGGGUAAUUUACCUUUGGGUGGGGAACAACAGCCGGAAACGGCUGCUAAUACCGCAUAAUGCAGCGGCUCGACAUCGAGACAGUUGUUAAAGCGGGGGAUCGCAAGACCUCGCGCCUGAAGAGAAGCCCGCGGCGGAUUAGCUAGUUGGUAGGGUAAUGGCCUACCAAGGCAACGAUCUGUAACCGGCCUGAGAGGGCGGUCGGUCACACUGACACUGACAUACGGGUCAGACUCCUACGGGAGGCAGCAGUCGGGAAUUUUGGGCAAUGGGCGAAAGCCUGACCCAGCAACGCCGCGUGAAGGAUGAAGCUUUUCGGAGUGUAAACUUCAUAAGAAUGGGAAGAAUAAGUGCGGGAUAAUACCCUUCACGAUGACGGUACCAUUUGUAAGCUCCGGCUAACUCCGUGCCAGCAGCCGCGGUAAUACGGGGGGAGCAAGCGUUGUUCGGAUUUAC